CGCACGGGUGCGUAACGCGUAUACAAUCUACCUUUUGCUGAGGAAUAGCCCAGAGAAAUUUGGAUUAAUGCCUCAUAGUAUGUUGACUUCGCAUGGAGAUAACAUUAAAGGUUACGGCAAAAGAUGAGUAUGCGUCCUAUUAGUUAGUUGGUGUGGUAACGGCACACCAAGACAGCGAUAGGUAGGGGCCCUGAGAGGGGGAUCCCCCACACUGGUACUGAGACACGGACCAG
rnacentral:rRNA from 1 species